UGUCUCUUGUAAUCAAAGGGGUAACCCUUUAAGCGAGAAAGCAGUCGGAAGGAUGGUAUUGAAUUGGUAUUUCCUCCUGUUUAAUGGAAAUGUAAUCGCACUGCCUGACUCAUCUAAAUAUGGAGUUCUUCAUCUGUCAACAAUCCUGCUGUCCCCAUCCCACUGGUCUGUUUCCUGUGCAUCUGGUGCUUGUGUCUCCUGAUGAACGCUCAGGAAGCUCAAGUGUUUGUUAUCGGCUAAUGCGUCCACAACGACACACCGCAACUGUGUGACUAGAAACCACUAGGACAAAACAACAGGAAAUGACAAAGGAAGGGGUAUCAUGGCAAAUUUGCACCCCCCCCCCCCAUAAAAGUAUAUUAACAAAAGUUAUUGAUACACAUCACAACAACAACAUAACCAUUGGUGUGUCUGUAUAAGACAAAAUGAGUUCAUAAAAUGUUGCUGUAAAGGUUGUAUUUAAUCACACGCAGGUCAAUGUAAUGUAAAGCAUCCAGAGAUGAUAAAUAACAAAAACAAUAAAAUGUCAACAUUAAAUACCAAU